rnacentral:rRNA from 1 species
UACGGAGGGUGCAAGCGUUAUCCGGAUUCACUGGGUUUAAAGGGUGCGUAGGCGGCCUUAUAAGUCAGUGCUGAAAUAUCCCGGCUUAACCGGGAGGGUGGCAUUGAUACUGUAGGGCUUGAGUAAAGUUGAGGUAGGCGGAAUUGACGGUGUAGCGGUGAAAUGCUUAGAUAUCGUCAAGAACACCGAUAGUGUAGACAGCUUACUAAGCUUUAACUGACGCUGAGGCACGAAAGUGUGGGGAUCAAACAGG